rnacentral:rRNA from 1 species
CAAUAGCGUAUAUUAAAGUUGUUGCAGUUAAAAAGCUCGUAGUUGGAUUUGUGGCGUACGGUGUGUUCCGGGCACUUGUUGUCUGAGUAACCUGCUGUUGCCAUCCUUGGGUGGAACCUGUGUGGCAUUAGGUUGUCGUGCAGGGGAUGCCCAUCAUUUACUGUGAAAAAAUUAGAGUGUUCAAAGCAGGCUUAUGCCGUUGAAUAUAUUAGCAUGGAAUAAUGAGAUAGGGCUUUUUUGCUAUUUUGUUGGUUUGCGCAAAGAGGUAAUGAUUAAUAGGGACAGUUGGGGGUAUUCGUAUUCCAUAGUCAGAGGUGAAAUUCUUGGAUUUUUGGAAGACGAACUACUGCGAAAGCAUUUACCAAGGAUGUUUUCAUUAA